rnacentral:rRNA from 1 species
UCGAACUGGAUUGACCUUGAGGGCAGGAGAGGGGGAGGUGGAAAUUCCUGUGGUAGGCGGUGAAAUUGCGUAGAUUAUUGGGAGGAAACACAGUGGCGAAGGCGGCUUCUCUGGGCUGUUUUCUGAUCGUGAAGGCGGGGAAAGCGUGGGGGAAGCAAACGGGAUUAGAUUACCCCGGUAGUUCACGCCGUAAACGAUUGGGUGCUAGGUGUAGAGGUAUCGACCCCUUCUGUGCCGUAGUUAACACAAUAAGCACCCCGCCUUGGGGAGUACGGCGCAAGGUUGAAACUCAAAGGAAUUGACGGGGGCCCGCACAAGCGGUGGAGCAUGUGGUUUAAUUCGACGCAACGCGAAGAACCUUAUCAGGGCUUGACAUCCUCUGACCGCAUAUGAAAGUAUGUUUUCUGGCUUCGGUCAGACAGAGAGACAGGUGGUGCAUGGUUGUCGUCAGCUCGUGUCGUGAGAUGUUGGGUUAAGUCCCGCAACGAGCGCAAC